GGAUUAAUUCGAUGCAACGCGAAGAACCUUACCUGGUCUUGACAUGUACGGAAUCCUCCAGAGACGGAGGAGUGCUUUCGGGAGCCGUAACACAGGUGCUGCAUGGCUGUCGUCAGCUCGUGUCGUGAGAUGUUGGGUUAAGUCCCGCAACGAGCGCAACCCUUGUCAUUAGUUGCCAUCAUUAAGUUGGGCACUCUAAUGAGACUGCCGGUGACAAGCCGGAGGAAGGUGGGGAUGACGUCAAGUCCUCAUGGCCCUUAUGACCAGGGCUUCACACGUCAUACAAUGGUCGGUACAGAGGGUAGCCAAGCCGCGAGGUGGAGCCAAUCUCACAAAACCGAUCGUAGUCCGGAUUGCACUCUGCAACUCGAGUGCAUGAAGUCGGAAUCGCUAGUAAUCGCAGGUCAGCAUACUGCGGUGAAUACGUUCCCGGGUCUUGUACACACCGCCCGUCACACCAUGGGAGUGGGGGAUACCAGAAGUAGGUAGGGUAACCGCAAGGAGCCCGCUUACCACGGUAUGCUUCAUGACUGGGGUGAAGUCGUAACAAGGUAGCCAAUCGAAUUCCCGCGUCC
rnacentral:rRNA from 1 species